UCCAAUAAAAAAAACACAAUUCAACAAAGGGAAAAAAUAACAGUCUUUCUUCUCUUAUCCCUAAUAUUGAAUUUUCAAAAUGAAAAAAAAAAAUAAAAAGUUUCAAAACGGCGUCGUAUUAACCCUCUCUUUCGUUUGACAGCACCAUAACCACAACGUUCAGAUUAAACUUCAACAAAGUCUCUCUGUCAAACGCAAAACCCUAAUUUCAUGAAUUGAAUACCAUGAUAAUGACACCAAAUUGGUGGCUGAGACAUGUGGCUUUGACGAGACUUGUGAAGAUGAAAUUCCGCGUCAAGAAGAUCCACUUUUGGGCUCCGGUGACGCCAUUGUCCCUUUCACCGUCACUGCCAACUCCGACGAAGAUGAACAGAGUGAUUCUCUUCCUCCGACGACGAUGUAGACGACUUUGAAACAGUUAAUAACUGAAGUUUGUUUGUUAGUAUUCAGUGAGCAGGAAGUUGCCAAGAGCUCCAUCUCUGACAAAUCAGAUGAUGGUGAAUUGUGAAGAUGAUGCCACUGCCAGCUUGUCUUCCAAAUUACCGAAGAAUAGAGCUCUCCAGAAAUUUCUUAGAAGUUGAAGGUUGAAGGUUUUAAUCUGUUGCAACAAUCUUGGUAUUGCCACUGCAAGUAUUGUUCAGAGUGCUCUCCUGGAGAUGCAAAUGACAUGGAUAGCAUAAUUGAAUCAGUUAAUUGGGAUCGAUUGGCUUCUAUGUAUGUUACUGGUCGUACUGGUGCUCAAUGUGAAUCAAGGUAUGUGUUUCGUAAUUGGUGAACUUAUGUUAUUCUAUGCAAGUUAAGAUGGUUAUUGAUGAUAAAGCUUUUGCUUUAUGUUUUUAUUACUGUGCAAUGCUCAUGCUUAAUAUCAUAUCUAGUCAGUCUUAUGAGAACUACAUCGACUCUGUUAUUUAGAUAAUUUUGUUUGAACAUUUUGCAAUGAUACUUUAUAUGCUUAGUGGAUGAGAUAUGCCAACGUAGAAUUUGAAGUUGAAGAAAGAAAAUAUUUAGACAGUAAUGUGAUUUAGUCGCCAGUACUUUCUAUUUGGGUGGAGGAGAUCGUGACUAAGGUUCAAAUUGAAUUGAAAACUGCAACCUAGAUAGUACUGUAAUUCCUAGAUCGUGACUAAUUUUUUCUUUGUCAAUAAAUGAGCCACAUUCUAACUUUUUAAUUCAAAAAAUUUGCAUUGUUUUUGUAAAACAAGAAAAGAAAGAAAAACAUAGACCAUGUUAUGUUUUGUACCAUUAAAAAAGAGAACAUAUUAAGAAAACUAUUCUCAACAACACACAUGCAUUUUGGUUGACAUUAUUCAUAGCAACACACAUGCAUCUUUGAAUUGUGCAUCAAAGAGUUUUGAUAUAAUUAUAUAAAAACAGUUUUACUUAAACAAAGAAAAAGAAAAAAAAAAAGGUUUUACUCAAAAAUAGAAAAUUAAAGUUUUUAAAAAGCAAUUUCACACCUAACUUCUUGUAUAAAUACUUGUGCAAUCUUGUAAGAUUUUCAAGUCAUUUAUGCAUGUGAAGUGUGCAAACUACUAACAAGAAAAUGAAUUUGAAAGUCAUUUUAUGGUUUUUCAUAAUUCUUACAACAAAACUCAAUCUUUCUAGUUCUUAUUAUGAGUAUUUCAUGAUGGUUGAACAAUGGCCAACUACAGUAUGUAUUAAUCGAAUGUGCACACUCAAAACACUUCCAAAGCUCUUCACCAUACAUGGUUUAUGGGGAACCAAUGUGUCUCAACCAUAUCCUUUGUAUUGUUCCGGAAAAGGGAACAGACGGAUAUUAAAAGGCUCGCUUGGUACAUUGGAACCUCAACUCAUAAAAGAAUGGCCUGAUGUAAUAAAUCAAAAUGAUCUAGAUUUUUGGUCGUAUGAAUGGAAUAAGCAUGGUACAUGCUCUAUGAACAAAUUUCCCCAGCUAGACUAUUUUCAACUUGCUCUAACUAUCAAGGCUAGGAUUAAUUUGACAGAUGUUUUGCGUCAAGUUGGUGUCAUACCGCAUAAAACAACCCCUCAUAACAUAAAUACAAUUGUUACAGCUAUCAAAAGUGCUAAUAACAACAACAAUCCAGUUCUUGUGUGUACUUCCGGCACGACAAUACCUUAUUUAAAAGAAAUAAGGUUGUGUUUAUAUGACAACGGAACUACUUACCGUAAUUGUCCCCCUCCAUUGUUCAGCGGAUGCUACAAUAAGAACUUCGUACUCCUUCCAUGAGGUUUAAUGUAAUAAAAAUAUAUAAUUGAAAUAAUACUUGUAUUAUGAGGCUUAAGUAGCCUUUUCAAAAAUAUAUUAUGAAACUUAAUUAAUAUUAUUAUAUUUUUCUAUCUA